CCUCUCCCACCAUCAAGCACAGCCGCCAGCGGCGGGCCGGGCGCGCUCCCUGGUGGCCGCACGGGGAAGAGUCCGGGCUGAGGGCCCGCGCCGCCGCCUUCCUCGCCGCAUAUCUUCCACCGCCGCGGCUCAUCCUGCUGAUUCCGCAGAACGUAACAAGAAAUUUGGAGUAAGACCGUCCAGAGUUUUUCUGAAGCUGCUUACCAGCCGUGUGACCGUGGCCACUCCGUCUAUGGCAUUUUGUUACGGCAGCCCAAGCUGAGACAACAUAGAACGUUCUCAGAGUUAACCCACCCGGACGGUGAGGAAGCUGGGUGGUUAACUCAAUUCUCAUUUGUCGUUGGUCAAGGAAUGUUCCCAAGGGCACUAACUCCUGGCACUGUGGCUUGCACCGUGCAGGGGCUGAGCGCACGCCUCUCCUCUGUGGGCCAGAGAAGCCCUCACUCAGCCUGAGAGUCUCUUGCAGGAAGAAGCCUCCUACUUGCCUGACCCAGGCCACUCCACAUGUUGCGCUGGGGCCGGGGAAGAUGAAACACACACAGCCCACCCGAGCAGCAACAACUGGGCUCAGCCCCAUGGCUCUCGCAAGAUGACUCCUAGCUGCCCGACAGCAUGAACACAAACAGGAAACGUGGUUAUGCGGGUUGCUGAGCCAGAUGACUGGGUGUGACAAAGAUUGCUCCCAGAUAAACAAGUCAGACUUGCACUCGAUGGCACUUCAGGAGAGAGUCAUUCAUCCACCACAGAGAUACCUGAGAAAUACCAAACACUGUAUUUUAUGGCUGUAUUUUGUCAUCAGGGAAGUCAUGAAUAAUUCCUCACGGAACUUUUGGAAGAUUAUCACUAGGAAUGUCAAAUAUGGUUACUGGGGUUCGAAGAUAGUCAGAUUUAAGACCUAUUUAUUUCCAAACCCUCAGGGUGGCAGAAGAUCUGGAUGGUGUCUGAAAACUGUCAUCAUAAGAAACAGACAGCUGCCAAUAACUCCCUAUGGCCACUCUGAAGGCAGCUAUCACAUGGGCCCACCGACGUUUUCUAGACAGAGAAACCUUCCAGCAAGCCUCACACCUGCCUUAAAGAAGGAGCAAGUGCAUCGUGAUGCUGAGUCCCCAUCAGACUAGACACGAGGCUGUGAAGACACAUCCACCCACACACUGAAGGGGAUGAGAUCCAGAACAAGGAGCAACCUUCCGCAAAAUGAGAACUUAUGGUGGUGACUCUACAUUGCCUUCAAGCCCAGCUGAGGUGCUGAAACUCAAUCUUUUCUCAUCUGCAAACUGCCCCUGCCCAGCCAGCUUGAGAGUCUGGCUCCUCCGAUGCAGAGCAGUGUGGCCAUCUGCCCAAGAUGCCAGUCAUAAUUUAAGGAAUCAGUGUGGACGCUACCUGACAUCUCCUGCCUUCCCCACCCCUCCCAGCUGGAGCCCCUAGAUGCCAUCCACCAGGAGACUCAGGCUCCUCAUUCCUCCAGGCAAUCCUGACUAAGCAGUGUCUCUCAAAGUUUAAUGUGCAAGCAGAUCAUCUGAGGUUCAGGCCAAAAUGGGUAUUCUGAUUCAUCAGGUUGGGUGAGGCCAGAGAUCCUGUAUUUCUAAGAAGUUCCCAGGCGAUGUCAAUGGUUCAUGAACUUCACUUUGAGUAGUAAGAAUGAGAAUGUGUAUAGACUAGCAACCUCAGCCUCACCUAGGGAUAGGGUCUGGAAUAUGUUGGGGUUUUUUCCCAUUUAUUAAUAAACAUUUAUUAAACACUC